UACGUAGGGUGCGAGCGUUAAUCGGAAUUACUGGGCGUAAAGCGUGCGCAGGCGGUUCGUUGUGUCGGCGGUGAAAGCCCCGGGCUUAACCUGGGAAUGGCCGUUGAAACUGGCGAACUGGAGUGUGGCAGAGGGGGGUGGAAUUCCGCGUGUAGAGGUGAAAUUCGUAGAUAUUAGGAAGAACACCAGUGGCGAAGGCGACACACUGGGCCAUUACUGACGCUGAGGCGCGAAAGCGUGGGGAGCAAACAGG
rnacentral:rRNA from 1 species